rnacentral:tmRNA from 1 species
GGGGAUGUAAUGGUUUCGACGGGGAUUGUGAGUAUAAGUAAGCGAGCAGCGGCGCAAAAACGCUUUAAAUAUUUGCACUGUUAUAAAUUAAAUAACAAUAAUAAAUCUUAUAAUACUAACAAUCUGUUAGUAGCAGCUUAGUUAUAGCUGCCAUCUUUAUUUGGGAGGACUGCGGCCUAUUUAAAGGUGUAAUCAUCAGCAGUGAACGUGAACCGGGUUUUGCCUUGGGCUCGGUCAGGAAAUAAAGGCUACUCUGUUUUUUUGUUUGUCGUUGUACAUCUUAACAGGGGAAUUUAAACAGCGACUACGCUCGUAGAAAGCUUAUACAGGCUUUUUUCGGACAGGGGUUCGAUUCCCCUCAUCUCCACCA